rnacentral:rRNA from 1 species
AUGCCUACCAGUGGAUGGCUCGGUUCGAGUGCCGAAGAAGGGCGUGCCAAGCUGCGAUAAGCUCCGGGAAGACGCAGGGAGUCUACGAUCCGGAGAUCCCCUAAUGGGACAUCCCAGCACUUCGGUGUUGAUCCGUAAGGAUCGGGAACCCCCCGAAUUGAAACAUCUUAGUAGGGGGAGGAAAAGAAAUCAACCGAGAUGUCGUUAGUAGAGGCGAUCGAACACGACGAAGUUCAAACUGAAUCCCCUCACGGGGAGAUGUGGUGUAGUAAGCCUACCGUCUGGAUACCAAGGUUAAGCGGAAAUCCUCUGGAAUGUGGUACUAGAGAGGGUGAUAGUCCCGUACGUGUAAGCCAAGGUGUCCUGGUAGUGUCUUGAGUACUGCGGGUCGGAAUUCUCGCGGGAAUCUGGGAGUCAUCAACUUCCAAAACUAAAUACUACUCGAAACCGAUAGCGCAUUAGUAGCGUGAGCGAAGGCUGAAAAGUAACCCGUGAAAGGUGGUUAAAAGUGCCUGAAACUGGUAGGUGAUGGUGAGUUACGGCGCGAAAGGAUCUUCCACGUGAAGGAACCCGUCGCGAGGCGGUAGUACGGGCGUGGUUGCCGGUGUCGUAACCUACGUUUUGAAGAACGGGCCAGAGAGUUUAUUCUGCAGGCGAAGGUUAACCCAAAAGGGGAGCCGAAGGGAAACCAAUAGGUCCGUAGCCUUCGGGUGUGGGACGACGUAUUAAAAGUGCGUGGAGUCUGCAGGAUAAGACCCGAAGCCUAGCGAUCUAUGCGUGGGCAGGUUGAAGCGUGCCGAAAGGCGCGUGGAGGACCGCAAGCGGUUUUGAUAUGCAAAUCAUUCGCGUGACCUGCGUAUAGGAGUGAAAGAUUAAUCGAGCUGGGCAUCUGCUGGUUCCUCUCGAAACAUGCCGCAGCAUGACCUGGCCGGAGAUAGACGGUGAGGUAGAGCACUGAUUGGGGGAGCUGGGGGAGAAAUCCCUCACCCUCCUGUCAAACUCCAAAUUCCCCGUCGUCGAAGAUGGCUGGUAGUCCGGACUACGGGGUAAGCUUGUAGUCCGUAAGGGAGACAACCCAGACCGUGGUUAAUGUCCCUCAAUGUAGGCUAAGUGUCAACACUGAAAGGCGUCCCAGGCCAAAGACAACUGGAAGGUGAGCUCAGAAGCAGCUAUCCUUUAAAAAGUGCGUAACAGCUUACCAGUCGAGGUUUGGGGCACUGAAAAUGGACGGGGCUAAAGCCUACUACAGAUACCACGGACCACACGUUUGUGUGAUGGCGUAGAGAGGCGUGCUGCCUGGGCUGAAGCAGGGGCGUGAGCUCCUGUGGACCGGGUAGUAAUGAGAAUUCUGGCAUUAGUAGAAGCAAAGUUGGGUGAGAAUCCCAACCGCCGGAGGGGCUAGGUUUCCUCGGCAAUGUUCGUCAGCCGAGGGUUAGUCGGUCCUAAGGUGUGUCGUAAUCCGAACACAUCAACAGGGAAACAGGUUAAUAUUCCUGUACCAUUCAUCCGUAGCGUUAAUUCGCCCUGACGCUUCGGGAUAUGCCGGGCAGGGUCGUCGCCCUGUCCAAGCGUUCAAGCUCGUGGAGUACCGCCAUGGUGAGAAGCGAGUGAAGGCGUGAUGGAGUAAUUCGGCAAAUUCCUGGAGCCCGUGAAAAGGGGGAUGAAUGUCCGUACCGAGAUCUGACACAGGUGCCCCUAGCUGAAAAGGCUAAGGCGUGUCGGUGUAAUCGUGUUAAGGGAACUCGGCAAAUUGGCCCCGUAACUUUGGGAGAAGGGGUGCCUGCCUGGCGAUCAGGCAGGUCGCAGUGACCAGGGGGCUCUGACUGUCUAAUAACAACAUAGGUGACUGCAACUCGGAAACGACUAGUAUAGUCACUGAUUCCUGCCCAGUGCGAGUAUCUGAACACCGGGUUCAACCGGACGAAGGACUCGUAAACGGCGGGGGUAACUAUGACCCUCUUAAGGUAGCGUAGUACCUUGUCGCUUAAUUGGCGACUUGCAUGAAUGGAUUAAUGAGAGUCCUACUGUCCCUAACUGGAAUCCGGUGAAGCUUACAUUCUAGUGCACAGUCUAGAGACCUCUAGGGGGAAGUGAAGACCCCGUGGAGCUUUACUGCAGCCUGUCGUUGGGUUGUGGUUCUGGAUGUACAGAGUAGGUAGGAGGCGUCGAAGCAGGUGCGCCAGCAUCUGUGGAGCCGCAAUUGGGACACUACCCUUCCGGGACUACGACCCUAACUCUGCGAAGAGGACCCCGAUAGGUGGGCAGUUUGCCUGGGGCGGGACGCCCUUGAAAAGAUAUCAAGGGCGCGCAAUGGUUGACUCAAGCGGGUCGGAAACUCGCUGAAGAGUGUAAGAGCAUAAGUCAGCCUGACGUUAUUCAGCACAGCAGUGAAUGACGAGACGAAAGUCGGCUCUAGCGAACUUUUGAGCCUCCUUGGUGGGGGCCAAAAAUGACAGAAAAGUUACCCCGGGGAUAAUUGAGUCGUUGCCGGCAAGAGUACAUAUCGACCCGGCAGCUUGCUACCUCGAUGUCGGUUCUUUCCAUCCUGGCCGUGCAGCAGCGGCCAAGGGUGAGGUUGUUCGCCUAUUAAAGGGGAUCGUGAGCUGGGUUUAGACCGUCGUGAGACAGGUCGGUUACUAUCUAUCUGGAGUGUAAGGAGUCUGAAGGUAAGAUGGAAAUAGUACGAGAGGAACUUUCCGUCGUCGCCUCUGGUCGAUCGGUUGUCCGACAGGGCA